UAAUGUCAACGUCCCUAGCACGAAGC
rnacentral:piRNA from 1 species